CUGCGGUCAUAUAUAUAUUACAUAGACAAUAAAAAAAUAUUUCAACGCCAUCUUUUGCGUAUAUGCGGGAAUAAUACCUCAAAUCGAUGUAGUGGUAUGUCAUCCGCUAUACUAAACGGUUUUUGGUUUUAUAAGUGACAGUGAUUUGAAGUAUUCUCAUUUCGAAGUUGACGGUGGCUGUGCGACGGCAAACACGUGAUUUUAUUAUAAUUUUCAAGGAUUAUAAGAUACUGAGAUCUACCAACACCUGGAUGAGUCAAAUAUUGACCUAUAUGAUGGACCUAUGGAGUUUCUUGCCGGUUUUUCUCCAUAGAUACUGCUUUCCGAAUCGGUGGUAAAUGUUAAUACUGUUAUGACGAUUCAAAAGUGCUUUUGGAAGAAGUCUAAUUGAAUAAAUAAAUAUUUGAGAUGAAGAUAAUCCCCCAAAUGAUACCGAUGAAGCCGCCCAAAUAACAAAAAAUGAUUCUUCUUCCAUUCGUCCAAUGAGUAUGAGUCAUGUCAGAAUAGAAUCGUCACUAUGUAUGUCAUCUUCAGUUGUUGGCAGACCAUCUCGGGGACGCACAUGACGUGGACCAAGCAUUAGAGGAGGCUGA